GGGGUGAUGGCGCAGCUGGGAGCGCGUUAGACUGAAGAAUCAACUUCAGUUUCCGACUUGUUUCGGGGUUAUCUAAAGGUCACCGGUUCGAUCCCGGUUCAUCCCA
rnacentral:tRNA from 1 species